UACGAAGGGGGCUAGCGUUGUCCGGAAUUAUUGGGCGUAAAGGGCUCGUAGGCGGUUUGUCGCGUCGGGGAGUGAAAACCAGGUGCUUAACACCUGGCUUGCUUUCGAUACGGGCAGACUAGAGGUAUUCAGGGGAGAACGGAAUUCCUGGUGUAGCGGUGAAAUGCGCAGAUAUCAGGAGGAACACCGGUGGCGAAGGCGGUUCUCUGGGAAUGACCUGACGCUGAGGAGCGAAAGUGUGGGGAGCGAACAGG
rnacentral:rRNA from 1 species